AACGAACGCUGGCGGCAGGCUUAACACAUGCAAGUCGAACGCGCCCUUCGGGGCGAGUGGCAGACGGGUGAGUAACGCGUGGGAACCUACCUUUUGGUACGGAAUAACUCAGGGAAACUUGAGCUAAUACCGUAUGUGCCCUUCGGGGGAAAGAUUUAUCGCCAAAGGAUGGGCCCGCGUCGGAUUAGCUAGUUGGUGGGGUAAUGGCCUACCAAGGCGACGAUCCGUAGCUGGUCUGAGAGGAUGAUCAGCCACACUGGGACUGAGACACGGCCCAGACUCCUACGGGAGGCAGCAGUGGGGAAUAUUGGACAAUGGGGGCAACCCUGAUCCAGCCAUGCCGCGUGAGUGAUGAAGGCCUUAGGGUUGUAAAGCUCUUUCGCCGGUGAAGAUAAUGACGGUAACCGGAGAAGAAGCCCCGGCUAACUUCGUGCCAGCAGCCGCCGUAAAAC
rnacentral:rRNA from 1 species